UGUUUAUUACCUGUGAAUUACUUCUACUAAACACCUGCCCAAAAUUCUACAGGCACUAUGCCAAGCUGGGCGUGUAUACAGGAUGGAGAGUUACUUUGGCAUGGUAUUCCCAGAGAUGGACACACAAGCAAAGUCUUUUUAACAAUGGAAAGAUCCACAGGUGCUUUUUGUUUUUUGUUUUGUUUUUACCUAAUGCUAAACUUUUAUCAAAGAAUUUUUCUUUCCAGCUUGAUAUUUCAAAUAAAUGUUAACCAUACAGUGUCUUCCCUCUCCCUUCAGGAUAUACAAACCACAGAAAUUCAAUGACUCAUCCCAAAAUGGUUUAUGAAUAUGCCAGGGGCGGAAGGGCAUGGUGUUUACUUCUUUAAGACUUCCUGCGAAACUGGAAAAAAAAAAGAGAGAAUACAGCAUUUGAAGAUAUUUGUAACUAACUAAAGAGCACGGGCCUGCCAUUGCAUGAAUGUGGAGAGUAGAGGCCAACUUGAAGUCAUCUGUAUGAUGAGACCUUGUGAGUCAAAGAGACAAAAUUCUCAUCAUAGUCCUAAGACAAUGGGGUAGGUGUGGUUCCCCCAGUCAUUCCUAAAAGCUCUCUUACAGAAUUAAAUUAUUAAGGACCACUAUAAAGAUUCAGCUACAUUCUAGGGAUUUGAUGCAUGCAAAACAAACAAACAAACAAAAAAGAAACAAAAUACAGAUCACGGGUAACAUAUAAGAAAGCAUAUGAAGAUCAAUAAAUAUGAUGAUCCUGCCAUCUGCCUAUGUUGUGAACCUGAAUAAGGUGGGCUGAGAGAGCCUGACUUCAAAAAAAGUUCAAUUCGGAAGUUUCUGGUGAUCAGAAGGGUCAGGAGCUACCCCCUGCCCUCCCAGAAGGCAGAGCAACUGAGGACAGAAAGGCACUACAAAGUCAACCAAAAUCUAAGUAGGCCUCUGUGAAAGGAUAUUUGGUGAACCAGUGAACUUCGUGCAGAUGCCUGAGAACAACACAAAUCUGCUGAUAAAAACAACAUAUUAUUCAGGGAGUAGUUUGAAUGCAUGACCAGUUAGCAAAAUAGCAACAGAGACUCCUUUUCAGGGCCUAUGAUUUCCACAGUCAUGGGAUUUUGACCAGUUUACACUACCAAGUAUGAAAUCCCACCUGUGGACCAG
rnacentral:lncRNA from 1 species